CCAGGAGUCAGCAUGGCGAGGGCGGAAAAAGAAGCAAGAAGUCCAUUUCCCGCGGGAGACGUGCGCCUCCCGUGUGACCAAAAGCCAGCAUAUGUUGUGGACUGAAAAAGGCCAAAAUUAACUGGAGUGCUCUCUGUGGAUCGUGGCAACUCUUUCCUGAGGGAGCAGUGGGACGUGGGGACCUGGGGCCUGCGUGGUGGAGAAACUGCCUCUGGAGACUGGUCGCGGACGCGAAGGCUUCUUCAGAAAGCUGUCAGAAGGAUUCAGUGAGAGCUCCUCGCCGCCCCCCCGCCCCCCCCGCCCCGUCAGCAGACAUCAGAAUUGCUGUUCGUCAUGGCAGAUAUUCCCACUAAGAGGACAGACAAACUGAGGGUCUGAGAGCGUCCGGACAGCCUGUCCAUGGGAGAAGGUAUAGUUCUUCCCCUCAGAGCACUCCUUGGGCCUUCUCAAGCGAAGCAGACCACAGGCACCCGCCGUGAUCCCAGCUCAGGUAGUCGAGACCCAAACAAACGCCCCGAGGGGCCAGGGGACCUUCCUUCUUUGGCAUUUCUCCCUCUCCGUCCCAGGCCCGUAUGAACCAGAGAUGACUGAACAGUCCCCUGCAAAUAUGUACAAAGGAGAUGGGCCGG